rnacentral:tRNA from 1 species
GCUUUCGUGGUAUAGUGGUCAGCACGCUCGACGCGUAACCGAGAGGUCCGUGGUUCGAUUCCCGGCGAAGGUG